rnacentral:rRNA from 1 species
CCCUUAGAUGUCCUGGGCCGCACGCGCGUUACACUGAUGCAUUCAACGAGCUUAUAACCUUGGCCGAGAGGCCUGGGCAAUCUUGUUAACGUGCAUCGUGAUAGGGAUAGAUUAUUGAAAUUAUUAAUCUUGAACGAGGAAUUCCUAGUAAACGCAGAUCAUCAAUCUGCAUUGAUUACGUCCCUGCCCUUUGUACACACCGCCCGUCGCACCUACCGAUUGGAUGGUCCGGUGAGGCCUCGGGAUUGUGGUUCUUGCCGCUUUAUUGUGGCGUGACCGCGAGAACUUGUCUAAACCUUAUCAUCUAGAGGAAGGUGAAGUCGUAACA